rnacentral:rRNA from 1 species
CGGAGGGCGUAGCGUUGUUCGGAAUUAACUGGGCGUAAAGCGCACGUAGGCGGAUCGGAAAGUUGGGGUGGAAAUCCCGGGGCUCAACCUCGGAACUGCCUUCAAAACUACUGGUCUGGAGUUCGAGAGGGGUGAGUGGAAUUCCGAGUGUAGAGGUGAAAUUCGUAGAUAUUCGGAGGAACACCAGUGGCGAAGGCGGCUCACUGGCUCGAUACUGACGCUGAGGUGCGAAAGCGUGGGAGCAAACAGGAUU